rnacentral:tRNA from 1 species
GGAGAGGUGGCCGAGUGGUUGAAGGCGCCGCUCUCGAAAAGCGGUAUACGUUCACGCGUAUCGCGGGUUCGAAUCCCGCCCUCUCCGCCA